rnacentral:rRNA from 1 species
CUCCAAUCGGCCUCCCACUUCGACAGCUCCUCCCACAAGGGGUUGGGCCACCGGCUUCGGGUGUUACCGACUUUCGUGACGUGACGGGCGGUGUGUACAAGGCCCGGGAACGUAUUCACCGCAGCAAUGCUGAUCUGCGAUUACUANCGACUCCGACUUCAUGGGGUCGAGUUGCAGACCCCAAUCCGAACUGAGACCGGCUUUUUGAGAUUCGCUCCACCUUGCGGUAUCGCAGCUCAUUGUACCGGCCAUUGUANCACGUGUGCAGCCCAAGACAUAAGGGGCAUGAUGACUUGACGUCGUCCCCACCUUCCUCCGANUUGACCCCGGCGGUCUCCCGUGAGUCCCANCACCACAAGGGCCUGCUGGCAACACGGGACAAGGGUUGCGCUCGUUGCNGGACUUAACCCAACAUCUCACGACACGAACUGACNACAGCCNUGCACCACCUGUUCACCGACCACAAAGGGGGCCCCCAUCUCUGGAC